GUACGGGCGAGUGAAGCGGGAUGAGCUCAAAUUUGAAAGCUGGCUUCACGGUCCGCAUUGUAAUUUCGAGAGACGUUUUCCGCGUUGGACCACGUACAAGUUUCCUGGAAAGGAGUGUCAUAGAGGGUGAUAACCCCGUACUUGAUGUGGACGCCCAAGGCUUUGUGAUACGUCUUCGACGAGUCGAGUUGUUUGGGAAUGCAGCUCCAAAUGGGUGGUAAAUUCCAUCUAAAGCUAAAUAUUGGGGAGAGACCGAUAGCGAACAAGUACCGUGAGGGAAAGAUGAAAAGCACUUUGGAAAGAGAGUUAAACAGUACGUGAAAUUGUCAAAAGGGAAGCACUGGAGGUUAGACGUGUGCCGUUGGAUUCAGCUUUUUUUUUAAAGUGUAUUUCCGGCGGUACAGGCCAGCAUCGGUUUUCGGGAUCGGAUAAGGGUGAGAGGAACGUAGCUUUCUUCGGAUUGUGUUAUAGCCUCUUUCUUGGAUACGGCCUGGGAGACCGAGGCAUGCAGCGCGCCUUUUUGGCGGACCUUCGGGUACCUUCGCGCUUAGGAUGCUGGC
rnacentral:rRNA from 1 species